AAUUCUAAAAGUUGCUUGGAAAGCAAGCAAUUGAGGUAAGGGAAGCUAAAUUUAAUUUUUAAUAGAACUCUAGGCUAGAAGAUCUGGAUAUGGAAGGGACGUGGUCCCAAUAUUCAAUUUCUCUUACAUGGAUGUUGUGUGUUGAUAUAUAUUGAGUUGUUUGUUUAUAUAUUAUUUAAAUUUGUGAAAAUGUUGAGUUUUGAUGAUUUAGUAUUAAAGUGUUAUUUUUUUUUAUGUGAAAUAGACUUUUGAAUAUUGUGGAUCACUUUUUGAAUGAUAUUGUAUGACAGAAUGGUAUGGAAUUGAAUUCAUACAUUUGGGAUAAUGUAUGGACUGAUGUUUGCUGUGUAUUAAGUAUUGAUGCCUAUGUGGUAACAGAGAUCUCCGAGCUUCACUGAUGAUCUAAGUCACAUAGACUAAGAUAUCAGGUGGUGAGAAGCUGAUGGAGGAGUUCAUGCACACCGUGACAUAUGAGAUGCACGGCUUGGGUUGUAUUGAAC
rnacentral:lncRNA from 1 species